GGAGGGGUGGCCGAGUGGACGAAGGCGGCUGUCUUGAAAACAGCUACUCCGCAUGGGGUCGCAGGUUCGAAUCCUGUCCCCUCCGCCA
rnacentral:tRNA from 1 species